AUUGAACGCUGGCGGCAGGCUUAACACAUGCAAGUCGAGCGGGGUGAUGGUGCUUGCACUAUCACUUAGCGGCGGACGGGUGAGUAAUGCUUAGGAAUCUGCCUAUUAGUGGGGGACAACAUCUCGAAAGGGAUGCUAAUACCGCAUACGUCCUACGGGAGAAAGCAGGGGAUCACUUGUGACCUUGCGCUAAUAGAUGAGCCUAAGUCGGAUUAGCUAGUUGGUGGGGUAAAGGCCUACCAAGGCGACGAUCUGUAGCGGGUCUGAGAGGAUGAGCCGCCACACUGCGACUGAGACACGGCCCAGACGCCUACAGGAGGCGGCAGGGGGGAAUAUUGGACAAUGGGGGGAACCCUGAUCCAGCCAUGCCGCGUGUGUGAAGAAUGCCUUAUGGUUGUAAAGCACUUUAAGCGAGGAGGAGGCUCUUUUGGUUAAUACCCAAGAUGAGCGGACGUUACUCGCAGAAUAAGCACCGGCUAACUCUGUGCCAGCAGCCGCAGUAA
rnacentral:rRNA from 1 species